CACAGCUUCAUGACCCCAGCAAAAAAAUACAGGUGAAAGGACCCGCCUCUUACAUCCAGCAUCUCCUGCAAUCUGAAUGCUAAGAUGGGAAGUGCUCUUAGAGGAAACCCCAAACUCAAGGUCCCAGUGGUGCCAACACCCACAAACUACCUAAAAGGAGUUCGCAAAUCAGAGGUUUCCUCCUCAGGCCUGAACUCCCUCGUAUCAUGAAGCCAAAGAGAUUAUUGACUGCAUGCAGUGUGGAUAGUAUUCCUGAUCAUCUAGUCGGUCCUCCAGUGGGGCUCCUGACGCCCUCAGCUAUGGGCAGUAAACUGCGGAGACCCUCGGCUCUUCCCACUCCAGUCCACCGCCCGGAUCUCUGGCAUCCCUGCACUCACACCCAG